GACGAACGCUGGCGGCGUGCUUAACACAUGCAAGUCGAACGGAAAGGCCCUGCUUUUGUGGGGUGCUCGAGUGGCGAACGGGUGAGUAACACGUGAGUAGCCUGCCCUUGACUUUGGGAUAACUUCAGGAAACUGGGGCUAAUACCGGAUAGGAGCUCCUGCUGCAUGGUGGGGGUUGGAAAGUUUCGGCGGUUGGGGAUGGACUCGCGGCUUAUCAGCUUGUUGGUGGGGUAGUGGCUUACCAAGGCUUUGACGGGUAGCCGGCCUGAGAGGGUGACCGGCCACAUUGGGACUGAGAUACGGCCCAGACUCCUACGGGAGGCAGCAGUGGGGAAUAUUGCACAAUGGGCGGAAGCCUGAUGCAGCAACGCCGCGUGCGGGAUGACGGUCUUCGGGUUGUAAACCGCUUUCGCCUGUGACGAAGCGUGAGUGACGGUAAUGGGUAAAGAAGCACCGGCUAACUACGUG
rnacentral:rRNA from 1 species